AUUGGCAAAAGGAAGCAAGAGUCUUGGGAGGUUUACCAUCAGGAGGAUGACAAAUGUUCGACGUAGUUGACAAUCCGGAAUUGUCUCCACCACGUCUCAUACACGCAAGAUCAUUUGUUAUCCACAAGAUCAAGUUCCUCCUUCUAACUUUAAAUGCCGAACACAGAUCCCCUGUCCAUCCAUUCACAGACUUCAGACACCUGCAAGAGAGACCUUAGGAGAGGAAAGAAACCUUUUCCAGCUGAGCCGGACUACCUUAACCCCACUGUUACUCUGAAUUGAUUUGUACGUGUGAAAAAGGAAACUGACAUGGCCGGAGGAAUGCUGUUCUUCCUGCUUUUGGCACUGACCAUUCUGGCUGGAGCCUCUAGCCAGGGCACAACAGUAGCCGCAACCACCACAACAGCAGCCUGAUUAAUAAUAUGAGAAACAUACCACUAUUUCGGGAGCAAUAAACUAUGUUGUCUCGCUUUCAGGGACCCAUACAUUUUUAUAAAACUUCUGAUGCAAAAAAAUCUUGUUCUGAUGCAAAAAAAAAGGGUGCUAAUAUUCAGUUAAAACAAAACCGCUGGCAUUAUUUUAUCAGCUGUGGGCGUUUUCAUUGCCAUAACAAUGUGAGCUAAUCAACAAGUACAACAUGUUCUAGACCAGUGGCUCUCAAUUAUUUUCUGUCAUUCCCACCCUAGGAGACAGAGAUCAUUUUUUGCGCCUUCCCUGAAUUGAAAUAGCCUACUAUUGAGAACCUGCUAAUAUUUAUUUAUUUUUUGUCAGCUUCAUCAGCUUAUUCCCUUUCAAAAAAAAUAAUAUAUGUUCUUCUUUCAAGCAUGAAUAAAGACACCAAGUCCCUCUGUCAUGACUUUGUACGAUCAAAAUUCUUGUAAAACUUCUGACCCUUGGUAUUAUGUUUAUUUAAAUUAAAAUAAGUAACUUAUUAAAAUAAAUCAAUUUUAUAAGCUGAGGGCGUUUUCAUGAGCCUCAUAGUAUUAGAAGAUGUGGUACUUGUUGAUUAGCUCAGUUGUUAUGGCAAUGAAUAAGCCCUCUGCUGAUAAAAUAAUGCCAGCGUCUUUUUUCAACUGAAAAUUAACACCCGUGUCAACUUUUUCUGCUCCUUGCACCUUAUCAUGCUUAUCAUGUUACGCAGAAUUACUAGCCCCUGCCGACUAAAAAAUUAAACAAUUCAAGAGGCGGCAUAGUUAGAAUCGCCUUGUGGUCAACUGUCAUUUAAUAGUCAUCUGACAAAUUAUGUCAAGGUUUUAAAAUGAUUAUUAUCAUUAUUAGCUGGUCAUGUUAUAACACAGCUGGUAAUCGUGGAUUUUCUGAUAAAGACUAGCAAGCCUUUUUGACAGACAAAACAGCAGAAACUAGCUUAAGUGUGCUCGGGCUGCCUUUUUGGUUUUGUCAAACAGGAGACGCCCACCCACCAAUCAGAGGUUAGAGAUUCCUGCAGGAAGGUUGCGCUCGAUUUCACUAGCCCAUUUGUGCCUGUUCAUUAGUGUACAGCAUCUAUUCUCUCAU